GAAAUGCAAUAAGUAGUGUAAAUUGCAGAAUUCAGUGAAUCAUCAAAUCUUUGAACGCACAUUGCGCCCCUUGGUAUUCUAUGGGGCAUGCCUAUUCAAGCGUCAUUUGUACCUUCAAGCUUUACUUAGUGUUAGGUGUUUGUCCCAAGAGACUCACCUUAAAGUAAUUAGCAGCCAGUGUUUGGUUUUAAAGCGCAGCACAAGUCGCAGUUCAAAGCUACACGCUAGCUUCCAUAAGCCUUUUUCACUUUUAACCUCAGAUCAGGUAGGGAUACCCGCUAAACUUAA
rnacentral:misc_RNA from 1 species